GUGUGUGUUUAUAUAUAUUCUCACUCGUCGUCUUGCUUUUUGACACAAAAACAGUCAUGGAAGAUGGCAGAGAGCUUAUUCUGUUGCAGCCAGGAGAGACUGAAAUUAUGAAAAUAAGUUCCUCUGCAUUUUGCAGUGGGCUUGAAAAAAAAUUUGGUUGUACAGCUCAGAUCCAGAAUGUGGAGGAUCAUGGAGCUUCAUCCUUUUCCCAACACAAACCAACAAUCGUGCCUGAGAUUAAGUACAGCAAACAGCUGUAUAAGGGCCUGAAGGUAUCGGUGUGGAAAGACGAUCUUACUACACAUAAGGCAGAUGCUGUGGUAAAUGCAGCAAAUGAGCAUUUAAGUCAUGGAGCAGGACUUGCUCAAGCACUGAGUCAAGCUGGAGGUCCUAUGAUCAAGAAAUGGAGUCAAGAUAUCAUAACUCAAAUGGGGAAAGUUCCCACAGGUAAAGCUGUUGCAACACCAGCUGGAAAUCUCCCUUGUAAAAUGAUCAUACAUGCUGUUGGGCCCUGUGUCUCAUUAAAUCCAACAAAACCAGAACUUAUUCAAGCAUCAGACCUUUUACAUGGAACAAUUUGGAGCAUCUUGCAGAAAGCUGUAUUGGAAAACGUGCAGUCUGUUGCAAUCCCUGCAAUAAGCUCAGGCAUUUGCAAUUUUCCACUGCAAAAAUGUGCUGAAAUCAUUGUACGUACCAUGGAGGAAUUCAGUUAUAAACGCAAUCCAGGAGCCAGGAGCCUUGAGGUCCGUCUAGUGAAUCAUGAUAAUGCCUCAGUUCAACAGAUGCACAAAGCUUGCUGUGAAAUUUUGGGGCAAUCUGAGCCCAUUCCAAUUCAAAACCAGGGCAAUGCACAAACCCAGUCUGUAGUCUCUCGUCUGGAUCUGGGGAACAUAACUCUGUACCUCAAAAAUGGUGCCAUUGAGAAUGAGACAACAGAUGUGAUUGUGAACACCAUAGGUGCAGACUUAGAUUUAAAAAGAGGAAAUGUUUCAGCUGCUCUCCUGGGAAAAGCUGGCCAGAUGAUUCAAAAGGAAAUAAAAAGUCAUGGAUAUGGUUCAGAGGGUGAAGUUAUUGAAACUGCUGGCUAUAACCUGCACUGCAAGGCAGUGUACCACACUGUCUGUAUGCCAAAAUCAGACUCACAAAAAGGCCAAACAAAGGCCCAUAAGAUUCUUUCCUCUGUGGUCAAAAAAUGCCUUAUGAAGGCAACCACAACAGGUUUUUCAUCCAUAUCUUUUCCUGCUCUUGGGACGGGUAAACUUGGCCAUCAAAAUGAUGAAGUUUCUGAAAUUAUGACCAAGGCAGUUGUGGAUUUUUCUGAAACCUAUAAUGGCUCAAAAACAAAAAUAUUUUUCAUCAUUUUUCCAAAGGAUACUUUGACACUGAAGGCUUUUGAAAAGGAAAUGGCUUCAACUACAAAAAGACAGCAGACCUUUCAAAACUCCAGCAGCCCGAAAGGAAAAAGUUCAGGUAUUCCUGACACUCGGGGAUUUGGAACAGCACCUUACAUUGAGCUCUUUGGCCCCUCUCCAGAAGCACUAAGAGAGGCCAAACGGUGGACAUAUGGCAUGCUGCAUUUGCACUCUGGCACUCUGAAAAUAUAUAACAAUCACAUUGUGCACCUGAGCCAGGAGGAUCAUAGAAAGUUGAUGUCCCUUCAGGUUUCAUUUAAUGUCAUCAUCACAGAAUUCUUUAAGGAAGGCAAAGGAGGAAUUAUCAUCAAUGGUGAGCCUGUAGGAAUCAGUUGUGCAGCAUUGGAGGUGGAAGCCAUGUUAUGCCAGGCCCAAGAGGAGUUUGCUCGGACUGAAGAGAAAGACAUGCAGACCUACGUUGGGCAUAUGUUUGGAGCAGAUGAUUCUGGGCAACAACAGAUUGAGAGGAUGUCAAACAGUUCAUAUCAGAAGACACGCAUAGACCUCAGUACAUCUGACAGGGCAAUAAAAGAAAAGCUGAAAGAUUUUGCAAGAUGUGGCCUGACAGUUGUGAAGAUGGAAAAAAUUGAGAACGAUGCACUGAAGCAGCUCUUCAAAUUGAACAGCCAACGCAUACAGGAUAAACCUCAGAGUCUGUACCAGUGUGUGAAAGCACAGUUCUGUGAUCUGAUCUGCAGAGUGGGCUUCCAGAGGGAAUAUGCACCACCUAAAGAACAAAAAUAUGGAGCCGGAAUAUACUUCACCAGUGAUGUGAACAAAGCAAGAUCACUGUGGAUGAACAAUGAAGAAGAGUAUAUCUACUUCAUUGACGCUCUGGUGCUCACUGGGAAAGACAAACAUGGUUCACCAGAACUGAUUGUGCCUCCUCCAAAAGGAAAAGACCCUCUGGUACGUUAUGACAGUCUGAGCAAUAAGAAGGACAUCUAUGUCAUCUUCAGUGGCCAACAAGCCUGUCCUGAGUUCCUGAUUACAUGCAGCAGACAUGCUGCCUAAACUCAUUUUUCACUUUGUUUUCACUCAACCUUGCAUUUUCCACUAAGAAAAAUGAAACUUAAAGCUCGAUAACUUUAAUCAACAAAGCUGUUAGCAUAUGGGGAGUAAAUAGAUAAACCCAGUAUUUAAUUCAGUGAACUUGCAUGAGUUUUAUUGUUGUCGAGAAAAUUAUUUGGAUUAUACUUGUACAUUAUGGAAACACACAUCAUGAAUAGUUUCAGGGGGAAAAGUAGAAGCUAAAUUACACACUACGACCUAAACAAAAAGUUUAAUGAUUCAAAAAAAAAAAGAAAGAAAGAGGACAUGAUGAGCUAUAUUACCAAGGAGGACCUUACUGAUUGCAAAUCCUCUUUGCGAUACUCUGAGCUGUCGGGGGUGGGGGGUGUUGUCCUUUUUUCCUGCUCAUAUAUUCAUUUUACUUUCGAAGCUUCUGGCCUUUAUAAUAAUGCGGUUGACCUUCUUGCUGUGAUUUAUAAAUGUAGGCACUAUAUUAAUGAGAAUAUUUUAGAGAACAGCAGCCUUUCUGGAUGUACCGUAUAAUCAUUCUGAUUGCACUCUUUUGUGAAGCUACAGCAAUAUGCAGGACUGUACAAAAGUCUUGGGCACAUGUAAAGGAAUGCUGUAGACCAAAAAUGGCUAAAAAAAUGUUUCAACAUUAAAAAAUACUAUAAACAGCCAUAAGCCAUAAUAAAUGAAACAAGUGUUGCCAGGAAAACAAACCUCGCCCGGCAGCACUUAUUUUAUAUCUAUAUGUUGAUAAUGGUAAUAUUUUUUAUUUUUAUUUAACCUUUAUUUAACCAGAUAAUGAGAUGAGAUGAGAUGAGAUCAGCUGUCAGGUUAUAGUCCUGUAAAAAUCCAUGACCUUGAGUUUAACAUUUCAAAGUUAUUCAAGGUCAAAGGUCAUGGUGCCAAAUGAAAGCCCAUGUGGCACUUCCUAAAAGUUGAUGAUGGUAAAUAUCUGUUUGCCAUUAACCCUUUUCAGGUUAUACAGUAGCCCUCUGAAAAUUCAUGACCUUGAGUUUGAACUUUCAAGGUCACUCAAGGUCAGUGAUCAUGGUGCCAAAUGAAAGGCCAUAUUGGAGUUCCUAUAUGCUCAUAAUAGUAAACAUUUGUCUAUUGGCAACGGUUCUUGAGUUAUAAUGGAAAAUAUGUUAUUUUGACUGAAAGUUUGACCUUUCCGGUGACCUUGACCUUCACCUUGACCCAAUUACCCUGAAAAUUUAAUCAGGUAAUUUAUGGACCAUUGCCCACCUACCCGGAAAAUUUGAAGUCAAUCGGUGAACCAUUUAGAUACUAGAUUGUUAACAGACAGACAGACAGACACAAACAAACAAGGUCAAAGGUCAUGGUGCCAAAUGAAAGCCCAUAUAUGACUUCCUAUAUGUUGAUAAUUAUAAAUAUCUCUCUAUCUCUAACCAUUUUCGAGUUAUAAUGGAACAUAUGCCAAUUUUAGCAAUGACCUUGACCCCCCUGACAUUUGACCCCAACUGCUAAGAAAACUAUGAGAGAUACCCCAUAAUGUAGCAGAUCAAUUGAAGCAGAAUUGAAAGAUGAACAUUUUGGAAUGUGUUUGAAGUAAAUAUAAUGAAUAUGAAGGAAGAUAUCACAAAAAAAUUAUUUUGACCUUUUUGGUGACCUUGACCUUGACUGGAUGACCCUCAAAAUGUUGCAAGUUCUAUUUGAGACCAAUGCCCAUCUAUCCUGAAAGUUUCAUGAAGAUUGGUCCAACCAUUUUCCCGUAAUGUUGCUAACAAAAAACAAAGAAACAAAGAAACCCCACCGAAAACAAUACCUCACCCUCUGGUGGACUCCAUCCUGGGUGAGGUAACAAAGUCAAUAUUUGGUGUGAGACGACCCUUUGCUUUAAAAAAAUAAAAAAUAGUCGUAGGUACAAUGAGUGCAGUUUUAUAAGGAAAUGAGCUGUUGGUUUUACUGAGCAUCUUGCAGAACCAGCCAAGGUUCUUCUGGACACUUUGUCACACGUGUUUCUUAAUUUUGCAGCAAAACCCAGUAGACUUCAUAAUGUUUUCUUUUUUUAAUCUGAAAAGUGGUCUGUUAUAGAAUAUGCUGCUCAGAUACAAACUUUUUUUCUGUAACAGUUAGUUUUGGUCUUGGAAAAAAAAACAAAAAACUAAUGUUUGGAACUCUAAAAUGUUUUUGUACUGACUCGAUAAUGUAGAAAUCAUAAAAUAGAAAUCUAUAGCAAAGUUUGUAUGGAAAAAAGGUGCUUAAGACUUUUGCACAGAACUGUAUGUUUUAUUUCAUUUUCAAUAAUGAGGAUAAUUAUACUGAUUAGGUGAUGGUUUGAAAGUGUGUGGUGUUUUCUGGUCUGUCUUUUGAUUACAACAAUAAAAUAUAACAGAUUUCAUA